GUGAAGAACGCAGCGAAAUGCGAUAAGUAAUGUGAAUUGCAGAAUUCAGUGAAUCAUCGAAUCUUUGAACGCACAUUGCGCCCCCUGGUAUUCCGGGGGGCAUGCCUGUCCGAGCGUCAUUACAACCCUCAAGCCCAGCUUGGUGUUGGGCCCCGCCGCCCCGGCGGGCCCUAAAGUCAGUGGCGGUGCCGUCCGGCUCCGAGCGUAGUAAUUCUUCUCGCUCUGGAGGUCCGGUCGUGUGCUCGCCAGCAACCCCCAAUUUUUUUCAGGUUGACCUCGGAUCAGGUAGGGAUACCCGCUGAACUUAAGCAUAUCAAUAAGCGGAGGA
rnacentral:misc_RNA from 1 species